AAAUGAUUUGUAACCACCACCAUCAUUUGUAACAAUCACCUCACCACCGCGUCGCACACAGCAUCCCACCCAACCACCGCACACAGCAACAUACCCUACACGCCCACCAGAGCCACAUCAUGCUACCAACACCACCACACACAACACUACAUCAUUACCACACACAACCACUAGUCAACAACACCGCACCCAACCACCCACCGAACGCAUCACCAUACCCAAUCAUUGGUCAACAACCCCACACUCAACCACCCAUCGCACAUAGCAUUGCACCUAACCACGCCUCGCACACCACAACUGCACAUCACCACCACACCCAACCCAACCACCGUACCACUACACAUCACAACCAUUUGUGACUAGAGAAAAAUGGAAGAAAGGACCCCUGAUCUGCAGCACCUCGUUGCGAGCAGUGCCACGAGCAUCAACGUUGCCCUAUCCACAAACGAUCUGUGACGUGCUACUGUUUGGGUUGAUCUACAUCUUCAACUAUACCGGUCGUCGUGUGCAACCCUCAUUGCCGACAAGAGGUUAAAGAGAGGGUGAGAAAAGAGAGGCAGGAAGAUUGGAUAGAGAGAAGGGAGAUAAAUGGUUAGGGUUUGGGAUUGAAAUUUUGUAUGGUAGAUUAAUUAAUUUUUGAAUUGUUAUAUUUAGAAACAUGGUCUAUGAUUUAAGAAUCGAGAUCUCCACAUCUUUUGAUUCCUAUAAUUUCCCCAACAAAG
rnacentral:lncRNA from 1 species